rnacentral:rRNA from 1 species
AGAACGAACGCUGGCGGCAUGCCUAAUACAUGCAAGUCGAACGAGAUCUUCGGGUCUAGUGGCGCACGGGUGCGUAACGCGUGGGAAUCUACCCUUGGGUUCGGAAUAACAGUUGGAAACGACUGCUAAUACCGGAUGAUGACGAAAGUCCAAAGAUUUAUCGCCCAGGGAUGAGCCCGCGUAGGAUUAGCUAGUUGGUGAGGUAAAGGCUCACCAAGGCUACGAUCCUUAGCUGGUCUGAGAGGAUGAUCAGCCACACUGGGACUGAGACACGGCCCAGACUCCUACGGGAGGCAGCA